GCCGGGCACAGUGGCUCGUGCCUGUAAUCCCAGCUUUUGGGAGGCCAAGGCGGGAGGAUUACUUGAGCCCAGGAGUUUCAGACCAGCCUGGGCAACAUAGUGAGAUCCCAUCUCUA
rnacentral:SRP_RNA from 2 species